UACGUUCAUCUCUUUAUAAGAGACGCAAGUAAGGCAGAGCCUGAAGGAACGGGAA
rnacentral:ncRNA from 10 species